CGCCCCCGAGCCUGUUGCGCAACUCUCGGAGCAGGGGGAAAAAAAAGGCGCAGUGAGAGGGUUUGGAUGUGCGCGCAAGUUGGCGUGUGAGGUCACUUCGAAGGACCCAGUGUACCAGGCCCAUGAUUCCCCAUGUCCCGAUAGUAUGUCAAGCCUGAAAUUGGGCUCUUCCACACCAAGUCUGUAUUCUGACAUUUACGACAGCUUCAACCAACUACUCUACUUCCUCCCUGCUCCUCAUCGUGGAAGCAGAAGAGAAGCAAGAGAAGGGUGAAGAAACAACUCAGACUCGUGGCUCUCUAACUGCUUUAGCUACCACCCCGGCAGUGGCCCAGCGCAGUGGCCCAGGCCAUAGCCACGGAAAUAGAAGCGACUUUCUCGGAUGAUAUCUUCCUCCUGGAAUAACAAGGAAGACAAGGCAGAAUUUGAGGUCAAAGUUCUAAGGAAAUGAGACAAAGAACACACCAAACAAAACAUCUCAUAGGUGGAGCUGUGCAGGUGAUCACUCUACUGUAGAAGAAAUGGGGUUAACAAACAAGGGUGAGGGAGACCAAAAGCUCAUGCCCAACAACUCUGAUGCACCCAAUGAAGAUAACGGAGAAGAAACCCAACAAUCCAACAGCCAGAAGAGGCAAGUAGCUGUUUUUCAAUUCCAGCUUAGUUACUGGGACCCCCUUCCCCCAACCAUGAUGCCUCCCUAG